rnacentral:rRNA from 2 species
ACUAAUGUUAAGUCGUAACAAGGUAGCCGUACCGGAAGGUGCGGCUGGAUCACCUCCUUUC